rnacentral:lncRNA from 1 species
AAACAUGCAUUCAAAUAAAUAUAAAUUUUGUUGCAAUGUAUUACAUAAUGAUGAAUCUACCAACUCCUUCUACUAGUAAUAUAUACAUGACAUAUGUACUCAUAUAUAGUACAAUAAUUGCAUCAAUAGUUCAAAAUUCCAACUCAAUUAUAAAGAAAAUCUGACACGAACAAAGUUAAACCAACAAAAAGAAAAGAAAUUGAAUGUGAAAAGUGAUACGAAAAAAACUCUAAUAAAAAUUACAUGCGAGUUUAUCCAAGUUUAGAUUUACUAUGAGUCUAACAUUGCUGAGUUUCAUUUCUGAGUUGCUAAAAUUUGAUUCUACGUAUGAGUCAAUAUAAAAUUGAUUGAUAUCUAUACUCGUGAAAUUGUAUAAUUUCAUGAGUUUACUAGCAAUUUAAAAAACUUUGGUAGCAUGUUUUGUCAUCUCUAGUCUAAGGCAAAGACUUUGGUCACAAUAUGUUUGGGACAACCCUUCGAUGCCUAGAUCUUUUGCGGUUUUUCUACUUCAAUAAAAUAUCAGUUGUUGGAUUAACGAAAGUCUUGAGAAUCUCUCAAGUCUCAACCAUGAGACAAAUUUAUAACAAAUCACAUUUGACCUUGGUAUAAACGAUUUGAGAUGAUGCAUGUCAAAAUCAUCUUUAGAGAAUACUUAGAAUGAAACUUGCCCGUCCUAAAUAAAAUAAUCAACAUUUAUUUGUAUAGUUGUACAUACCCUUGUGUAGAAAUGGAUUAUCUCCAUUUGUUUGUCUCUCAUGUUUUCAAUCUUAC